CAUGAUCUUGAGGGGGCCAAGUAGAUGAUCAGCCUGCCUUCCUUCCUUCCUUUCUCUUCUUUCUUCCUUUCUUUCUUUCUCUCUCUUUCUUCCUUCCUUUCUCUUUUCUCUUUCUUCUUUCUCUCUCUCUUCCUUCCUUCCCUCCUUCCUUUUUUCUCUUUUUUCUUUCUUCUUCCUUCCUUCUUUCCUUUCUCCUCUUUCUUUCUCUCUUUUUCUCUUCCUUCCUUCCUUCCUUCCUUUCUCUUUUUUCUUUCUUUCUUCUUUCUUUCUCCCUUCCUUCUUUUCUCUUUUUUCUUUCUUCUUUCUCUCUCUUCCUUCCUUUCUUCCUUCCCUCCUUACUUCCUUUCUUCUCUUUUUCUUCUUCUUCCUUCCUUCUUUCCUUUCUCCUCUUUCUUUCUUUCUCUCUCUCUUUCUCUUCCUUUCUUUCUCCUAUCUUUCUCCCUUCCUUCCUUUCUAUUUUUUCUUUCUUCUUUCUUUCUCUCUAUUCCUUCCUUCCUUUCCUUCCUUUCUCUUUUUUCUUUCUUUCUCCCUUCCUUCCCUCCUUCCUUUCAUUCUUUCUCUUUUUUCUUUUUUCUUUCUUAUCCUUCCUUCCUUUCUUUCUUUCUUUCUUUCUUUCUCUUUCUCUUUCUCUUUCCUUCCUUCCUUCCUCCCUCUGUCUCCCUCUCUCCCUCUGGAUCCUUCUCUCUCUCUUUCUUUUCCUCUCCCUCUCCAUCUCUGUCUGCCUCUGCCUUUCUCUCUGUGUGUCUCUCUGCCUCUGUCUCUCUCUGUCUCUCUCUGUCUCUUUCUUCCUUUCUCUUUCUUCCUUCCUUUCUUUCUCUUUCCUCCUUCCUUUCUUUCUCCUUCCUUCCUUCCUUCCUUCCUUCCUUCCUCCCUGUCUCCUUAUCCCUCUCUUUCUCUUCCUUUCCCUCUCCAUCUCUGUCUGUCUCUGCCUUUCUCUCUGUGUGUCUCUCUGCCUCUGUCUCUCUCUCUGUCUCUCUCUUUCUUUCUUUCUCUUUCUUCCUUCCUUUCUUUGUCUUUCCUCCUUCCUUCCUUCCUUCCUCCCUCCCUGUCUCCUUAUCCCUCUCUUUCUCUUCCUCUCCCUCACCAUCUUUGUCUGUCUCUGUCCCUCUCCCUCUCUGUCUCUCUGUCUUUGUCUCUCUCUGCCUCUGUCUCUGUGUCUCUCUCCUGACUCCAGGCCUGGCACUCUAUCCACUGUUCCACCUAGCUGCCCCA
rnacentral:lncRNA from 1 species